rnacentral:lncRNA from 1 species
UGUGUUGGUGGGUCGGAUCCUUCACCAAUGGUUAAGCACCAUCUUCUUGAUGCUGACCUAGUGAUAGUGAGUUCUCAUGAGAUCUGGUUAUAGGACGGUGUGGCACGUCUUUCCUCUCUCAGCCUUGCUCCUACUCCUGCUGUAUGAAACAUUUCAUUGCUGUUUUCCUACUGGUAUGAUUGGGAGGCUUCCUGAGUCCUCCCAGAAGCAGAAGCCACUAUGCUUUCUUUACAGCCUGCAGAACCAUGAGCCAAUUAAACCCCUUUUCAUUAUGAUCAUACAGAAAAUAAAGUACUGCGAAGUGGAGCUAUGAAAUAUCUUCAAUGACAUUUCCCCAUCGUCUUGGCUAUUAGCACUGGACUUCUUUUUAAUGCAAAUA